ensembl:lncRNA
UUUUUUCUUUUUCUUUUUUUCUUGAAACACACAUUCCUGCACUGUUUUUGGAAUGAUACGUGUGCCAAUGUGCAUCUAUUCGUAUUCUUCUCUCUGGUAGUUCCACGUGAAAACUCCUUUACCCACGAAAAUGGAAUCUUUGUGUCUUUGUCUCCUCGCUAGCUUUCAGGCAUGUUUUGGCAGGAGCUUUGGCUGUCGAGGCAUUGGAGAGGAGGGGCCUUGCAGUCAUUUGUCAGCUUUUCUUGCAUCUGUAAUUUUUUGUCCACUCAGCAGUACUGGAGGGGCUUAGAAAAGGGGGACAGCUUGUAGUUGUUGAAAGUUAAACUCUUGAAAUAAUUGCCAGACCAUAACGGUUUGAGGAAGGUGUGCAUGGGGGGAGAAACUACAAAAGUUUCAGCUUAAUACAGCUGUAGGUUUAAAGAUCUAGAAAAUCUUCUUUUUGCUGAAUUGCGUGCCUUCUCCCUAUGUCUGUGUAAGGGCACUGUACUGUGCUUAUAGGCUUGUUCACUGUGCUGAUAAACUGGCUUUAUUUAGUGGUGAAGAAAAUUGUUUCACUGCUGUUUAAGUCCAGGUUCUUUCCAACCAGUAGCUUUUUUAAAAAUAUUUUUUCUCUAACUUUUCUCCUAAUCCUCCACUGCAGUUUUCCUUCAUAGCCCAUGCACUUUCAUCAUCAUGUGUAACAUAAUCAAACAAGAAAUUAGUUGAUUUUUUUUCUUUUUAUUAUUGGAAGAUAGGUUCCUUCAUAUCAAAUAAAGCAUUUUUCCUCCUUAGCUUUUUACAGAAUAUAAAUGUUGAUCUCUCUUCAUUUCAGUAGGCUAUUUAAGCUCAGGACUCAUACUGUGAGCUGUUAAUUAAUCAGUGUGACAGAUGAAGCAAGUAUCCGAGUAUGAAAGAAAACCUUACUUCAGUGACUAACAAUGAGAAUGUGAGCCCGAGUGAUUUAAAGGAUUUUUUUGUGUGAAUGUGUGAUAAGGAGUCUUAAGCGGUUAGAGGCAACGUUGUUUUUUCACUCAGCUUGUGUCUCUGCACAAACAUUAAAGGGCUCAUCAAUAUUUUGUCUUGAAAAGUCUAGACAGCAGUUAAAAGAGCCUCUCCUACAGCUUGAAGAGAUCCCAUUUCCCAUAAUUAAUAACAGGAAGCAAGUAAAUAAGGCUUUGCUGAUAAAUGAAACAGCAAUGGCAACAUGGAUCCAGAAACAUCAGCUCCUAGCUGAGAAAUGCAGCUGAGGUCUGUUGGUAUUAGAGGGAAAGAUCACUGUGGAAGCCCGAGAGCUUUGCUCAAGCCUAAUUCAGUUAUGCGAUAGCAAACCAAAGGUGCAGAAAGUACAAUAAUGCAUUUUAAUUAUUGAGAGUGAUUCCUGGACUUUGAUUACGUUUGUACAAUAGUCCAGAAAUGCUUCCCUCUGUCAUUAUUUGCAACUCUUUGAAGGAGGUUUUCGUGUUUAUUUAAGAGCUACCAGAAGGCAUCUCAGACAUUUCCGGGAACAAAUUGUAUAUAUGUAUUUUAGGAAGAUAAGAAAAGAAACUUAAGGAAAAGUUGAUUAUUUAUUUAAUUUUUCAUUUUUUAAAGACUGUAUUUCCCCCUCAGAUAUACCUCAUCAGAAAGUGGUUGGAAAUCCUUUCCUCUUCCCACUCCCCUUCCAGCUCCUCUCAGUUAUCUCACUUAGCUGUUAAGGUCAUUUUGGCAGCAGCCAUGCUUACAACUGGCUUUGGUUUUGGGGUUACUUGGUGGGGAAGACAGGGGAAUAUGUUUUCCUAGAGGAGCAGUGAUAAGUAAAUGGCAAUACUUAGGGGCAGUGGAAAGUCCAUCUUAACACCAUCUUUAUGUCGGCCCUUAAGUUGGACCUUGCUGAAUUAAGAAGUUAAUCGUUCCUUAUGUCCACAGUGUGAUACAAUUGUGCAAUACAGUCUGUAGGGCAUCUUAAUGCUGACCUUAAAAAGGGAAGAAUAGGCAACUUAUUUUACUGAUUUUUUUUAAACACUCUAGUCAGUGAAUUCCUACUUUAGCUAUUUAAUUUACAGUUAACUACUAGAAUUAUUUUUUCUAUCUGUAGUAAGCCCAGCAGCUCAUAUACUAAAGGUGACAAGGUAGACCCAAAUAAGCCUGUUUGUAGAGCUAAUGUUUUUCCCUUUCUGUACGUUUUAUAAGAUUAACCAGCCGUUGCUGUACAGAAGCAUGGCAAUGAAUACUAAACAGUCCGUCCAUAAGGCAUUUUGGAAGGAAUUCAGUAAAUUCAAAGAAGAUAUCCCAACACUGUAUCCCGUAAUUUUAUUUUUUUUUCCACUGAGUGUAGUUAAUACUAUUGAAUGCAACUGACUAUAUCCAAAAAGAAGUUGAAAUAUUUACAUGGCUGCUUCCUCUGCCUCGUCAAUUCAAAAUAUUUACUGCAGAUACUCUGUUUAGUGACUGAUUAAAUGAGUUAUUUGAGCAUGUAUUCCAAAUCUUAAGUGUAGACUUUUUCCACUUGACUUUGAAAAUAUAUAAUUCCAUAGUUUGCAACUGGACUUCUGAUAUUUUCUAAAUGCAUUUCUGUCCUGUUAAAUACUGAGUGCUGAGUUCCGUCAUCCUGAAUCAAGCAUGCCUUUAUCUAGCUAGACUUACAGCUUUUCAUGAGACAGCUUAGGGGAUGUGGUACUACUUGACUCAAGUACUUGGCUUCAUAGUGCAAGUAAAUGUCUCAAAUGAGUAACAUAAUAAGAAAAAAUAUCAAAAGGCAGUGGUUGAAUUCAUUUUCAGAGUAUACCUUUAUACUUCAGGUACGAUUAUAAACUACUGUGUUAAGCUUUUGGGGUUUGUUUUGUUCCGGUGGUAUUUUUUGUUUGUUUGUUUGUUUUUCCAGAGCUGUGAUAUUUAGUGCAGUUCCAGUUCCUAUGGGAAUUUUCUUUGUAGACAAGAGACUUCUUAACAAGAAAAGUUAUGUUACAAAGAAAAACUUUGAAGAAAAUAGUGCAAAUUAAUAUAAUUUUUGGACCUUCAAAAAUAAGAUGUUUACAUGCUGCACAUAAUUGACCUAAGUAAAAUUUAUAUAAUUACAGAGAAAAUAAUAUAAAAACCUUUUUAGUAAAUAACUUGAAUAUCUUCAGUUGUACGUCACAAAGAGCAUUUCUACAUUGAGCAUAAUCCUUGUAUUCAGCUUUUGAUGUGACUUAUGCAUGCCUAAGGAGGGAAGUUUAAUGUGUAGGAUGAUUCUUUUAGAAUGAAAGGUGAUGUACCAUUGAUUGUUCUAAUAUUUUAAUCUUAAGAUGAUAGUACAGUUCAGCAACACAGCACUGCUGCUUAGUGCACCAGUAUAUGCAGACUGAUCAAGUGCCUAUUUUACAGAUAUUAACAAAUAUACUAGACUGUAGGGUAGUGUAGAACAAGGUUCCUGGUAUAGGCCUGCUUUAAGAGAGGAUAGUAUGAAAAAGUACACUCGUAACAAGACCGGAUAUUGGUAGCAGAAUUCUGUUAUCUUAAACUCAUAGAUAUGUGGUUUCCAAGUGAAACUCUCCCGAGAACUGGCAGUUUCCAGGCUGCUCUAUAGAUUUCCUGUUUAUUUUAUAUGAUGCUGGAAAUAUCAUCUGAUGAUAUAGUACUCUUUUCCUAAGGCAGUUAUUUUUCUUUUUUUUUUAAUAGGAUGUUAUCUAAAGCCCAUUCUGUUAAAGUAGAAAGGUUUAAAAUAGCUGUAAGUAUUCUGAUUAUACCGCAGCUUUUAACACAGUAUUUUUUUUUUUGUCUUCUAAGAUUUUAAAGAACUUUGAAUAUAUCCUCUGUGUGUGUGAUCUGACCUGAUGCAUUCCUUCUCCAGCCUUUUUAAGUAUUUUCAUUUGUCUUAUUUACUGAAGGAUAGGAUAAUUUUAUUUGACCUGUUGGUAGGGUAUCUAUUAAAAAAACAAACAGAUGAAAAAAGCAACUGGAAUGGAACUACAGAAAAAUACAUUCACACUCAACUUUGAAUCUUAGUUUCUGAUCACAUCCCAGACAAUUUUUAAGCACUUCUAUGGUUUAUUCUUAAGUACUUCCUAUUAGGAUGUGAACUGUUUUACUAAAUUUUUUAAUUCACAGAAACUGGCUAGCCUCACUUGUUUUAAUCAGUAACCUAAUUCUGGCAUUAGAUUUAAAGAUGAUAUUCUCAUUAAUCCUCCCUUUAAAUAAAAUAAUGUUUAUAUAGAUGAGAAUGCUGUAGAAUUCCUGUGAAAGUAGGUGCAUACAGAUGGACUGACUUAAAGAAUUUUAUUUUUAUCAUCACUACUGUUGAUCAGUUCUUGCCUCUUGCCCUCUGCCUUACAUCCUAGAAGGAAACAAUUAGGAAGGGCAAUGCCCCAGGAGUUCUUGUUGUGCUCU